AUGGCCGAGGCUCCGGCGGCGAGCCGCAGGGCGGAGGAGGCGGGGAGCCGGCGCCGCGCGGAGGAGGAGGCGGAGGCGGCGGCCGCCGCCGACGGGGACGGGGACAGCAGCGUCUACACCUCCGAGGACGAGGGCACGGAGGACUACCGCCGCGGCGGCUACCACGCCGUCCGCCCCGGCGACACCUUCAAGCAGGGCGCCUACGUCGUGCAGUCCAAGCUCGGCUGGGGCCACUUCUCCACCGUCUGGCUCGCCUGGGACACCGCCCACUCCAGGUAUGUGGCCCUGAAGGUGCAGAAGAGCGCACAGCACUACACGGAGGCUGCCAUGGAUGAGAUCAAGAUCUUGAGGCAGAUUGCCGAUGGCGACCCUGAAGACUCCCGCUGUGUUGUGAAGCUUCUUGACCACUUCAAGCACUCAGGCCCCAACGGGAGCCAUGUCUGCAUGGUGUUUGAGUUUCUUGGUGAUAACUUGCUCACCCUGAUCAAGUACACGGACUAUCGCGGGAUUCCGCUUCCGAUGGUUAAGGAGAUAUGCCGGCAUGUGCUCAUUGGCCUUGACUACCUCCACCGCGAGCUUUCCAUUAUCCACACGGAUCUGAAGCCUGAGAAUAUAUUGCUCGUGUCCACCAUUGACCCCUCGAAGGAUCCCCGGAAGUCAGGUGUGCCACUGGUGCCCCCUGCUGCAAGGGCCAUCGAGCCACCUCCAAGGGCACCUGCUGCACCAUCAGCUAGUAGUGGCCUCACCAGGAACCAAAAGAAGAAGAUCCGGAAGAAAGCCAAACGUGUAGCUGCUUCAACUUCAGAAGGCAAUGGGGCAGUGGCAGCUGUUGACACGGACGAAUCAGAUGAUAAGGGAGAUUUGAGUACAGCAAAUGAGGGCAGUCCUAGCGAGGAUGGGGACAGGAAGAGAGGCGGGGGACAUAGGCGGGGCAGCAAAGGGACUAGGAAGAGGAUGGCGAUGGAAGCUGAACUAAGCUGUAAGCUUGUGGACUUUGGGAAUGCAUGUUGGACGUACAAGCAGUUCACAAGUGAUAUCCAAACAAGGCAAUACAGAUGUCCUGAGGUCCUUCUGGGCUCCAAGUACUCUACAUCUGCUGACCUGUGGUCCUUUGCAUGCAUAUGCUUUGAACUUGCCUCAGGAGAUGUGCUCUUUGAUCCGCAUAGUGGAGAUAACUUUGACAGGGAUGAGGAUCACCUUGCGCUUAUGAUGGAGCUACUUGGAAUGAUGCCUCGAAAGAUUGCCUUGGGUGGCCGAUACUCACGUGACUACUUCAAUCGUUACGGGGACUUGAGGCACAUCCGUCGCUUGCGGUUCUGGCCUCUCAGCAAGGUGCUUGUUGAGAAGUACGAGUUCAGCGACAUAGAUGCCAUUGCCAUGUCAGACUUUCUCGUCCCGAUACUUGAUUUUGUUCCCGAGAAGCGUCCUACAGCCGCUCAGUUGCUCCAGCACCCAUGGUUUGAUGCUGGGCCCCUUCGACGGCAGCCCAGAGUGCUGGCGGACACAGCUGAGAAUCCAGUUGAUGGCGCUCCAGAGAACAAAGGCAAGGAGAAAGACGAUGAAAGAGAUGCAAUGGCUGCGGAGCUGGGGAACAUCGCCAUAGACGGCGCUUCUUCAUCCAAGAUAGUGAAGGAUCCCCAAGCAAGCUCCAAGCAAAAGAUUGCGAAUGGUACGCCUUCUAAGAAGUGA
rnacentral:rRNA from 1 species